ensembl:misc_RNA Y_RNA Y RNA
GGCUGGUCUGAGUGCAGUGGUGUUUAUAACUCAUUGAUCACAACCAGUUACAGAUUUCUUUGUUCCUUCUCCACUCCCACUGCUUCAUUUGACUAGCCUUAA